AAGUCGUAACAAGGUUUCCGUAGGUGAACCUGCGGAAGGAUCAUUACAGUGUUCGCUGCCCUCACGGGUAGCAAACCUCACCCUUGUGUAUUAUAUCUUUGUUGCUUUGGCACGCCGCCUUCGGGCACUGGCUUCGGCUGGCUCGCGCGUGUCAGAGGACCCCAAACUCUGAAUGUUAGUGUCGUCUGAGUACUAUCUAAUAGUUAAAACUUUCAACAACGGAUCUCUUGGUUCUGGCAUCGAUGAAGAACGCAGCGAAAUGCGAUAAGUAAUGUGAAUUGCAGAAUUCAGUGAAUCAUCGAAUCUUUGAACGCACAUUGCGCCCGGUGGUAUUCCGCCGGGCAUGCCUGUUCGAGCGUCAUUUAAACCAAUCNAGCCUCGUGCUUGGGUCUUGGGCCUUUCGCCUCCGGGCGGGCCUCAAAAUCAGUGGCGGUGCCUCCUGGCUCUAAGCGUAGUAAUACUCCUCGCUAUAGACGUUCGGUGGUGUCCUGCCAGCAACCCCCCCAUUUUCAAAGGUUGACCUCGGAUCAGGUAGGGAUACCCGCUGAACUUAAGCAUAUCAAUAAGCGGAGGAAAAGAAACCAACAGGGAUUACCUCAGUAACGGCGAGUGAAGCGGUAACAGCUCAAAUUUGAAAUCUGGCUCUUUCAGGGUCCGAGUUGUAAUUUGUAGAAGAUGCUUCAGGUGUGGCUCCGGUCUAAGUUCCUUGGAACAGGACGUCAUAGAGGGUGAGAAUCCCGUAUGUGACUGGUUGCCUUCGCCUAUGUGAAGCUCUUUCGACGAGUCGAGUUGUUUGGGAAUGCAGCUCUAAAUGGGAGGUAAAUUUCUUCUAAAGCUAAAUAUUGGCCAGAGACCGAUAGCGCACAAGUAGAGUGAUCGAAAGAUGAAAAGCACUUUGGAAAGAGAGUUAAACAGUACGUGAAAUUGUUGAAAGGGAAGCGCUUGCAACCAGACUUGCCUGCCGUCGAUCAUCCUCCGUUCUCGGGGGUGCACUCGGCGGUGGUCAGGCCAGCAUCGGUUUCGGUGGUGGGAUAAAGACCUUGGGAAUGUAGCUCCUCUCGGGGAGUGUUAUAGCCCUCGGUGCAAUGCCGCCUACCGGGACCGAGGACCGCGCUUCGGCUAGGAUGCUGGCGUAAUGGUUGUAAGCGACCCGUCUUGAAACACGGACC
rnacentral:rRNA from 1 species